AGCGAACGCUGGCGGCAGGCCUAACACAUGCAAGUCGAACGAACCUUUCGGGGUUAUUGGCGGACGGGUGAGUAACACGUGGGAACGUGCCUUUAGGUUCGGAAUAACUCAGGGAAACUUGUGCUAAUACCGAAUGUGCCCUUCGGGGGAAAGAUUAAUCGCCUUUAGAGCGGCCCGCGUCUGAUUAGCUAGUUGGUUGAGGUAAUGGCUCACCAAGGCGACGAUCAGUAGCUGGUCUGAGAGGAUGAUCAGCCACAUUGGGACUGAGACACGGCCCAAACUCCUACGGGAGGCAGCAGUGGGGAAUCUUGCGAAAUGGGCGAAAGCAUGACGCAGCCAUGCCGCGUGAAUGAUGAAGGUCUUAGGAUUGUAAAAUUCUUUCACCGGGGACGAUAAUGACGGUACCCGGAGAAGAAGCCCCGGCUAACUUCGUG
rnacentral:rRNA from 1 species